GGGAAUCUCUUCCCCUGCACAUUCGUUUAGCCCCUUCCUUACUGAUCUUCAAAUCUCUAUUGAAGACUUUUCUUGUUCGCCAGGCUUUUGCCCUGUAGUUGAUCUAUUUGCUUUUGGUUGGUUACUUUCAUUUUUAAUUCAGAAUGUCAUGUUUAAUGUUGUCUUGCUUGCAUGUUUUUGUGCACCGCCCGGAGUCUUUGGAGUGGGUAGUAUAUCAAAUGUUUCUAAUACAUACAUACAUACAUAAGAAAGACAGAAAUCUUCCCCUCUCUUUCAGAUGUACCCUGAUGAGGCCUCUCUCGAGGCUCGAAUUCAAGGAAAAAGCCACGUCUCAGCUGCAUCAAGUGAUGAAUAUCAAGUGAAAUAGCCUAUCUUCCCUAAAUGCUUACUUGGAGUCAGUAAUGGGCUGGAUGAGGAAAAACAAACUGAGGUUGAAUACAAGGAAGAUGACUGGAAGAUAGGAAGUGGCUUAGAUCUGUCAGUUCUGGAAGGGGUUACACUCCCCCAGAAAGAGUAGAGUUUUCCAGCCAAUUAAAAAUGAAGACCUUUCUAAGCCAAUGCACACACUGGAGCAGCUCUUCACUCCAACCCUGAUAUCUCAACUGCCUUCAAUCAAAAAAAAUCUCAGUCAUCGACUCUGAUUCCAAAAAAGGUGUUUUCUACCUAAGCCUGAACAGGGACUUCCAGUCCAAGACAUGGAUGAUUAUGAACUCAACAGAGCCUCCAGAGACUGCUCCACUCCCAAAAAAGGGAGACCAGAGAAGCCACACCAACAUCACCC